rnacentral:rRNA from 4 species
ACGGGUGAGUAACACGUGGGCAAUCUGCCCUGCACUCUGGGACAAGCCCUGGAAACGGGGUCUAAUACCGGAUAAUACCUUCCCUCGCAUGGGGGUGGGUUCAAAGCUCCGGCGGUGCAGGAUGAGCCCGCGGCCUAUCAGCUUGUUGGUGAGGUAGUGGCUCACCAAGGCGACGACGGGUAGCCGGCCUGAGAGGGCGACCGGCCACACUGGGACUGAGACACGGCCCAGACUCCUACGGGAGGCAGCAGUGGGGAAUAUUGCACAAUGGGCGAAAGCCUGAUGCAGCGACGCCGCGUGAGGGAUGACGGCCUUCGGGUUGUAAACCUCUUUCAGCAGGGAAGAAGCGAAAGUGACGGUACCUGCAGAAGAAGCGCCGGCUAACUACGUGCCAGCAGCCGCGGUAAUACGUAGGGCGCAAGCGUUGUCCGGAAUUAUUGGGCGUAAAGAGCUCGUAGGCGGUCUGUCGCGUCGGAUGUGAAAGCCCGGGGCUUAACCCCGGGUCUGCAUUCGAUACGGGCAGACUAGAGUGUGGUAGGGGAGAUCGGAAUUCCUGGUGUAGCGGUGAAAUGCGCAGA